CCUACGGGCGACAGCAGUGGGGAAUAUUGGGCAAUGGGCGCAAGCCUGACCCAGCAACGCCGCGUGAAGGAAGAAGGCUUUCGGGUUGUAAACUUCUUUUCUCAGGGACGAAGCAAGUGACGGUACCUGAGGAAUAAGCCACGGCUAACUACGUGCCAGCAGCCGCGGGAAUACGUAGGUGGCAAGCGUUAUCCGGAUUUACUGGGUGUAAAGGGCGUGUAGGCGGGGCUGCAAGUCAGAUGUGAAAACCAUGGGCUCAACCUAUGGCCUGCAUUUGAAACUGGAGUUCUUGAGUACUGGAGAGGCAGACGGAAUUCCUAGUGUAGCGGUGAAAUGCGUAGAUAUUAGGAGGAACACCAGUGGCGAAGGCGGUCUGCUGGACAGCAACUGACGCUGAGGCGCGAAAGCGUGGGGAGCAAACAGGAUUAGAUACCCGGGUAGUC
rnacentral:rRNA from 1 species